UUCAGACAGGUGAAAAGACUAAAUCCACUUUUGCAACCCAGAACUCAUUACUGUAUAUGAGUUCUGAAACAGAUAAGAAGGAAUAUG
rnacentral:snoRNA from 1 species